rfam:Felis catus isolate Cinnamon breed Abyssinian chromosome D1, whole genome shotgun sequence.
GCCUGGGUGGCUCAGUCGGUUAAGCAUCUGACUUCGGCUCAGGUCAUGAUCUCAUGGUUUGUGAGUUUAAGCCCCACGUCGGGCU